rnacentral:lncRNA from 1 species
GUUAGCACUGCCCUGUUCCAAGUGUCUCUCCACCUGCACCGCGUCCCCUCGUUUGUGUAGUUUGUAUUUAAGCCUGUGUUGUUCCCCUCACUCUUCAUUGGUUUGUCUGUUUUUGGCUCUUGUGUUUCCUGCUCAUCUUACCUGUUCCUCUCAGUCCUGUGCUCUACCUUUGGCUUCCCAUGCUCCAUGUGUCACAGCACACUGGUUUGUUUAGUUUUACACUUGGUGAUUUCUGUUUGGUUGUCUGAAUUUUUGCUGCUUUGCUGUUUUGGACUUUUCGCCACCUGCUUUUGUUCCUCAGCCAUUUUGUCCUGAUAUUUUGGAUUUCAUUUGGCCAAGCAACACACCUUGUGAAGACGAGCAGCCAAGGAUCAGAGCAGCACUUCACAGACCCUCCUCCUCCUCCUCUUCCUCCUCUUCCUCCUCAUUCUUGUUCUCGCACCAGUACUUGGUGUCAGAUGGAGCAGAUAACUUAUUUUUCUUCCAGUAUGCAGGUGCUAGAAUCCGAAUGCAAUUACCGGAGAAGUGAAUGGGAAUGCUCUAGACCAAAGUAAUACAUCAAUGUCAAGCAGGACUGAGAUCUGCUGGUGAAAUAUGAUUUUCUCUCUAUCUGUAGAAAUAAGUUCC